CGGGACGGGUGAGUAAUGGCUGGGAAACUGCCUGAUGGAGGGGGAUAACUACUGGAAACGGUAGCUAAUACCGCAUAACGUCGCAAGACCAAAGAGGGGGACCUUCGGGCCUCUUGCCAUCGGAUGUGCCCAGAUGGGAUUAGCUAGUAGGUGGGGUAACGGCUCACCUAGGCGACGAUCCCUAGCUGGUCUGAGAGGAUGACCAGCCACACUGGAACUGAGACACGGUCCAG
rnacentral:rRNA from 1 species